UACCCUUGACAUGUCAGGAAGCCCGAUGAGAGUUGGGUGUGCCCGAAAGGGAACCUGAACACAGGUGCUGCAUGGCUGUCGUCAGCUCGUGUCGUGAGAUGUUGGGUUAAGUCCCGCAACGAGCGCAACCCUUGUCAUUAGUUGCUACAUUUAAGUUGGGCACUCUAAUGAGACUGCCGGUGACAAACCGGAGGAAGGUGGGGAUGACGUGUCUAGGAGGGUG
rnacentral:misc_RNA from 1 species